rnacentral:tRNA from 1 species
CAGAAGAUAGUUUAAUUAAAACUGUAGCUUUGGGGGUUACUAAUGCAAGUAUGAAUUCUUGUUCUUUUGA